GACGAACGCUGGCGGCGUGCUUAACACAUGCAAGUCGAACGGUGAAGCGCCUUCCUUUUUGGUGGGUGUGGAUGAGUGGCGAACGGGUGAGUAACACGUGAGUAACCUGCCCCCUUCUUCUGGAUAACCGCAUGAAAGUGUGGCUAAUACGGGAUAUUCUGGGUCUGUCGCAUGAUGGGUCUGGGAAAGAUAUUGUUUCGGUGGGGGAUGGGCUCGCGGCCUAUCAGCUUGUUGGUGGGGUGAUGGCCUACCAAGGCGGUGACGGGUAGCCGGCCUGAGAGGGUGGGCGGCCCCACUGGGGCUGCAACACGGCCCAGACUCCUACGGGAGGCAGCAGUGGGGAAUAUUGCACAAUGGGCGGAAGCCUGAUGCAGCGACGCCGCGGGAGGGAUGGAGGCCUUCGGGUUGUGAACCUCUUUCGCCAGUGAAGCAGGCCUGCCUCGUUUGUGGGUGGGUUGACGGUAGCUGGAGAAGAAGCGCCGGCUAACUACGUG
rnacentral:rRNA from 1 species